rnacentral:lncRNA from 1 species
UCAAAUUUGCGAUGUAAUCCGUCCCUAUGUCGGCACAAUCAGCAGAACAAAGCAGCUACCAUGAUUUGCCCAUUGAUCUCUUGGAGUGAUUCAAACCUGCAAGCACCAGGGUAAGAAGUUUCGGUUUUCUUACUAAUGCAACUGAUUUUGUAAGGUUAGAACAAUGUCAGUUUGCUUUUAUGUUGGUUUUCUAAUUUCUAUAUAUUCCUUUCUUACGGAUUCUGCCUUCAAGGAAAUCUAAUUAUCUAGGUAGUAUGGAAAAGCAUGCAAAUUAUAUAACUAUUUGGGUAUACUCAUGCUCUGCUAUGUAAGAUUGAGGAGAAAUAAUUAUUUUGUUCACCCAUCCUAUUUUUUCCCAGGUAAUAUCUCAUGCUCAACUAUGUCAGAUUGAGUGACUCCUGCAUAUGAUGACUGAAGAAUUUUUCAUCAAUUUUCCAACCUGAAUUAGCUACAGAAUUUGGGAAAAGAGGAGUCCAGGCUCUGAUGAACACAC